rnacentral:rRNA from 1 species
AUUGAACGCUGGCGGCAGGCUUAACACAUGCAAGUCGAGCGAGCGGCGGACGGGUGCGUAAUGUCUGGGAAACUGCCUGAUGGAGGGGGAUAACUACUGGAAACUGUCGCUAAUACCUCAUACCAUCGGAUGUGCCCCGAUGGGCUUAGCUAGUCGGUGGGGUAACGGCUCACCUAGGCGACGAUCCCUAGCUGGUCUGAGAGGAGGACCAGCAAAACUGGAACUGAGACACGGUCCAGACUCGUACGGGAGGCAGCAGUGGGGAAGAUUGCAAAAUGGGCGCAAGCCUGAUGCAGCCAUGCCGCGUGUAUGAAGAAGGCCUUCGGGUUGUAAAGUACUUUCAGCGUGGAGGCGUUACCCGCAGAAGAAGCACCGGCUAACUCCGUGCCAGCAGCCGCGGGAAUUC